CAGGAAAACGAGUAUGUUUUCCUGGCACUAUAGUGGUCCUUUAAAGGGAAACUAUAGUGUCAGGAAAAUAAACUUGUUUUCCUGGCACUAU